GAGUUUGAUCCUGGUUCAGGACGAACGCUGGCGGCGUGCCUAACACAUGCAAGUCGAGCGAUGCGGUGCUUCUUCGGAAGCACCAAUUAGCGGCGGACGGGUGAGUAACACGUGGGUAACCUGCCUCAAAGAGGGGAAUAGCCUCCCGAAAGGGAGAUUAAUACCGCAUAAUAUGUUUUGAUCGCAUGAUCGAAAUAUCAAAGGAUGUUCUUCGGAACUUCCACUUUGAGAUGGACCCGCGGCGCAUUAGCUAGUUGGUGAGGUAACGGCCCACCAAGGCAACGAUGCGUAGCCGACCUGAGAGGGUGAUCGGCCACAUUGGAACUGAGACACGGUCCAGACUCCUACGGGAGGCAGCAGUGGGGAAUAUUGCGCAAUGGGGGAAACCCUGACGCAGCAACGCCGCGUGAAUGAUGAAGGCCUUCGGGUUGUAGAGUUCUGUCUUCUGGGACGAUAAUGACGGUACCAGAGGAGGAAGCCACGGCUAA
rnacentral:rRNA from 1 species